CUGGGGCUGGAAGUGGGUCAUGACUGC
rnacentral:piRNA from 1 species